GACCUCAAAUCAGGUAGGACUACCCGCUGAACUUAAGCAUAUCAAUAAGCGGAGGAAAAGAAACUAACAAGGAUUCCCCUAGUAACUGCGAGUGAAGCGGGAAAAGCUCAAAUUUAAAAUCUGGCGGUCUUUGGCCGUCCGAGUUGUAAUCUAGAGAAGUGUUAUCCGCGYUGGACCGUGUACAAGUCUCCUGGAAUGGAGCGUCAUAGAGGGUGAGAAUCCCGUCUUUGACACGGACUGCCAGGGCUUUGUGAUGCGCUCUCAAAGAGUCGAGUUGUUUGGGAAUGCAGCUCAAAAUGGGUGGUAAAUUCCAUCUAAAGCUAAAUAUUGGCGAGAGACCGAUAGCGAACAAGUACCGUGAGGGAAAGAUGAAAAGAACUUUGGAAAGAGAGUUAAACAGUACGUGAAAUUGCUGAAAGGGAAACGCUUGAAGUCAGUCGCAUUGUCUGGGAAUCAACCUUGCUUUUGCUGGGUGUACUUCCUAGUUGAUGGGUCAGCAUCAAUUUUGACCGUUGGAUAAAGUCCAAAGGAAUGUGGCAUCYUCGGAUGUGUUAUAGCCUUUGGUUGCAUACAACGGUUGGGAUUGAGGAACUCAGCACGCCGAAAGGCCGGGUACUUGUACCACGUUCGUGCUUAGGAUGCUGGCAUAAUGGCUUUAAUCGACCCGUCUUGAAACACGGACCAAGGAGUCUAACAUGCCUGCGAGUAUUUGGGUGGAAAACCCGAGUGCGUAAUGAAAGUGAAAGUUGAGAUCCCUGUCAUGGGGAGCAUCGACGCCCGGACCAGACCUUUUGUGACGGAUCUGCGGUAGAGCAUGUAUGUUGGGACCCGAAAGAUGGUGAACUAUGCCUGAAUAGGGUGAAGCCAGAGGAAACUCUGGUGGAGGCUCGUAGCGAUUCUGACGUGCAAAUCGAUCGUCAAAUUUGGGUAUAGGGGCGAAAGACUAAUCGAACCAUCUAGUAGCUGGUUCCU
rnacentral:rRNA from 1 species